UGUCAGUAGAGUUGCGGGUAUGAUGAUGUAGCUGGUUUUAAAAUGCCUCCCCAACGUCUGAAGUGUGCAGAGGAGCUAAAGCAAUUGAACUGUCCAACGACUCCUCUGAAGCCAUGAAUUGAAAUAAACCUUUCCCAUUUUCAGUUGUUUUUCUCAGACGUGGCGCUGCAUUCUGUGUUCUCACCCCUCGAAGCUGAGGAUCUCAAAGUCAAGUCCAGGCUCAGCAACAUAGGCCUUUAGAGAGAGCCUUUCUGAAAAUAAAAUAAAAAUUAAAAAUAAAUGCAUAAG